rnacentral:rRNA from 1 species
AGACAGGUGGAGCGAUUAGAAGUGAGAAUGCCGGUAUGAGUAGCGAAAGACAGGUGAGAAUCCUGUCCACCGAAUGACUAAGGUUUCCUGGGGAAGGCUCGUCCUCCCAGGGUUAGUCGGGACCUAAGCUGAGGCCGAGCGGCGUAGGCGAUGGUCAACAGGUUGAUAUUCCUGUACCAGUUUCUUUUGUUUGACCGAUGGAGGGACGCAGCAGGCUAAGAUAUGCCCACUGAUGGAUGUGGGUGCAAAUAAUAAGUCUGGCGAUGAGUCAAAUGCU